UAUAGUCCCUGUGAAAGCUGGAAUUGUGAGGACGAGGUCUCGGAAAAUGGGGUGGGAGCUUUCUGCGGUGACCAUGGAGGAGGUGCUCGGCCUGGUGCCGGGCUUCGUAGACAUCCUCGUCCUCGCCGGGGGCCGCACCUCCUACGGCACCGCCGCUACCUGGCGGUCCGGCGAUGUCCAGAAAGCCCUCCGGUGGGCGCUCUUCUUUGAGGAGGUUUUCAGGAACCUUCGUGACACUGGACAGUACGAAGAUUCGGCAAGAGAGUUCGAUGCAGCACUCGUGGAGCUCACUUCAAGCCCGGAUUUCCCCAAGGGUCUUGCUGAUAUGCGAUCGGGGACACUCGCGAUGGCUAGGGUAUUGGUCCUAAAACAUUUUCUGAAAGCCAAAACAAUGAGUGUGGAGAAUCUCCGUGCUCUUCUUGAAGCGGUUGUGGAGAUGGAUGUCGAUGGCAUUGGUGGUUGUGGUGGGCACCAUGCGUUCCAAGAGUAUGUAAAUUCAAUAUUGAAUAUGAAUUUGUCUAGUUUGAUGCGGAUGGAGAACGCCGGCGUUGUUGGAGCUCCCACUGGUUCUGAUAGACUGUAUUCAAAAUCCAUAUUUAUGGGUCAUUCACGGAUUCUAGUUAAAGAACUUUUGGAGAGGUUAGAUUCAGCAUUAUGUAUUUCUUUGGCUGACAGAGGACUGAGCACACUUCAGAAUGGUGGGAAAAAGAACAGCUUUGGUGACGCAGGGAGCAUGUCAUGCGCACUCGCGAUCCCUAAAAAAUCCCAAAUGAUCGACAAACUUCUUCUGUGGAAGCAGUGGAGAGGGCAGUGUUUGUCAUACUUGCUUGAUGAACGUACCAUUCGGAUUGUGUCGGGAUCUAGUUUUAUCUUUAGUGCUCCAAAGGAGCAGUGGAUGAAAGUGUUUGAACCAUUAAAAGGUUCUGUCGAUUCUUGUCAGAGUGGCCUCACUGAAGUCAUGGAGCUAUGCUUGCUGGGUUUGGUUUCGAGGCGAUGGGAUCCAUUAAUUGGGAGCUUUAUGUCACAUACUUUUAAUUCCCUUCCUAUAUCCAAGCAGUAUACCGAUCUGCACCAGUUGCUUCCUGGAAUUUCUCAGGAUGAAUACCAAGAUAGGCUUCUUAGUUCCAAGGAAAAGGACAUUCUUGAGUAUGCAUGGCAGUCAAUAGAAAGUAAGCCACACUUAUUAUGGCUUCUACCUCCAGUUCUUACUGCCGCAGCAAUCCCACCAUGGUCGACCUUGUUUAAGAUAUACCUUGCCGAAAUAGACAAGCAAUUUGAUGAAGCUUCUUCCACAAAUCGAAAAUGUAAUUGCAGAAGAGAUGGGAUAGAGCAGCAUCAUAACUGUGAGAUUGCUGAAAGGAUUCAAUGUCUCUACACAUUGCAUGUUGAACAACCACAUCUAACGCUUCGGUAGUGGCGGUAGAUCAAAACAGUCCUGGGGAUUUGCAAUAUGCACUUCAGCUCCUACUAAUUUAAAGAAGAUAAAUCCUGGCAAAUCAGUGGCCUUGGAAGAUCAUUCACUCCCAUUAUCUGAACAACUGCACAAGACCAGCAAAAUUAUUUCUUCAGUAAUUUCCCUCCCAAGUUUGAUGUGGUAGACCCUUACA